UUGAGGCGUGGCUUCCGGAGCUAACGCGUUAAGUCGACGCCUGGGGAGUACGGCCGCAAGGUUAAACUCAAAUGAAUUGACGGGGGCCCGCACAAGCGGUGGAGCAUGUGGUUUAAUUCGAUGCAACGCGAAGAACCUUACCUACUCUUGACAUCCAGAGAACUUAGCAGAGAUGCUUUGGUGCCUUCGGGGAACUCUGAGACAGGUGCUGCAUGGCUGUCGUCAGCUCGUGUUGUGAAAAUGUUGGGUUAAGUCCCGCAACGAGCGCAACCCUUAUCCUUUGUUGCCAGCGGUCCGGCCGGGAACUCAAAGGAGACUGCCAGUGAUAAAACUGGAGGAAGGUGGGGGAUGACGUCAAGUCAUCAUGGCCCUUACGAGUAGGGGCUACACACGUGCUACAAUGGCGCAUACAAAGAGAAGCGACCUCGCGAGAGCAAGCGGACCUCAUAAAAGUGCGUCGUAGUCCGGAUUGGAGUCUGCAACUCGACUCCAUGAAGUC
rnacentral:ncRNA from 1 species